rnacentral:rRNA from 1 species
AACGAACGCUGGCGGCAUGCCUAACACAUGCAAGUCGAACGAGACCUUCGGGUCUAGUGGCGCACGGGUGCGUAACGCGUGGGAACCUGCCCUUAGGUUCGGAAUAACUCCCCGAAAGGGGUGCUAAUACCGGAUAAUGUCUUCGGACCAAAGAUUUAUCGCCUUUGGAUGGGCCCGCGUUGGAUUAGCUCGUUGGUAGGGUAAAAGCCUACCAAGGCGACGAUCCAUAGCUGGUCUGAGAGGAUGAUCAGCCACACUGGGACUGAGACACGGCCCAGACUCCUACGGGAGGCAGCAGUGGGGAAUAUUGGACAAUGGGCGAAAGACUGAUCCAGCAAUGCCGCGUGAGUGAUGAAGGCAGUAGGGUUGUAAAGCUCUUUUACCCGGGAUGAUAAUGACAGUACCGGGAGAAUAAGCUCCGGCUAACUCCGU